GACGAACGCUGGCGGCGUGCCUAACACAUGCAAGUCGAACGGAGAUAUGAUUUCGGUUGUAUCUUAGUGGCGAACGGGUGAGUAACGCGUGAGCAACCUGACCUUCAGAGGGGGAUAACACCCGGAAACGAGUGCUAAUACCGCAUAAGACCACACCGUGACAUCGCGGAGAGGUCAAAGGAGCAAUCCGCUGAGGGAGGGGCUCGCGUCCCAUUAGAUAGAUGGCGGGGUAACGGCCCACCAUGUCGACGAUGGGUAGCCGAGCUGAGAGGCUGAUCGGCCACACUGGAACUGAGACACGGUCCAGACUCCUACGGGAGGCAGCAGUGGGGAAUAUUGGGCAAUGGGCGAAAGCCUGACCCAGCAACGCCGCGUGAGGGAAGAAGGG
rnacentral:rRNA from 1 species